AGUCACAGUGCCAUGCCCGGCUCUGGCACCCGUCCUGAGCUCCGUGGGUGAUGCCUUCCAAGGAUUUAGCCAUGAGGUGGCGGCUCUCAGCGCGGUCCCAAAACUGGCUCCAGGGCUGUCCGAGUGCCAGGCAGAAGUAGGUGGCGGCUUAUUUGGGUGCAUGUAGUGUGGCAUAAAGAACCGCACUCACAUGCUGUGUUUGUUGUCUGCUGGGCGGUGGCUGUGCAGCCCAGCUGACCAGCUGUGGAAAGUGAAGAAGGCAUUGAAGAUGACUAUUCUUUGGAGAGGCCUGAUGCCCGAAUUUCAGUUUGGCACUUACAGCGAAUCUGAGAGGAAAACCGAGGAGUACGAUACUCAGGCCAUGAAGUACUUGUCAUACCUGCUGUACCCUCUCUGUGUCGGGGGUGCUGUCUAUUCACUCCUGAAUAUCAAAUAUAAGAGCUGGUACUCCUGGUUAAUCAACAGCUUCGUCAACGGGGUCUAUGCCUUUGGUUUCCUCUUCAUGCUGCCCCAGCUCUUUGUGAACUACAAGUUGAAGUCAGUGGCACAUCUGCCCUGGAAGGCCUUCACCUACAAGGCUUUCAACACCUUCAUUGAUGACGUCUUUGCCUUCAUCAUCACCAUGCCCACGUCUCACCGGCUGGCCUGCUUCCGGGACGACGUGGUGUUUCUGGUCUACCUGUACCAGCGGUGGCUUUAUCCUGUGGAUAAACGCAGAGUGAACGAGUUUGGGGAGUCCUACGAGGAGAAGGCCACGCGGGCGCCCCACACGGACUGAAGGCCGCCCGGGCU
rnacentral:sRNA from 1 species